rnacentral:RNase_P_RNA from 1 species
CGAGGAAAACAGACAGUCGCGUGGCCAGGCCGAAAGGCCGUCCAUGAGGAAAGUCCGGGCUCCACAGGGCAAGGAUAACGGGUAACGCCCGCCGAAGGCGACUUCAGGAAAAGUGCAACAGAGAUAUACCGCCAGUGCGGUUAAACCAUGCUGGUAAGGGACAUGACGCCAUCCCCGCAGCAGCUGCAAAGCAGCGGCGCGGGCAGCGGAGGUGUUGUGUGAAGAGGGACAAAGGGUCCCUCUUCACGAUUUCAAUCAACCCGCCGCAGCGGCCGAUUCCGCAGGAAUCGGAGGGGUUCCACCCUUACCAGUGCGGUUUAGCCGCACUGGUAAGGGUGGAAAGGUGCGGUAAGAGCGCACCCGACGGCUGGAGACUGCCCGUCGCUGUAAACUCUAUCCGGAGCAACACCGGCAUGGGAGCAUAUAGGCUGGCCCGGCCGCUCCCGGGGUGGCUUGAGCGUGUUGGCAACAGCACGCCUAGAUAGAUGACUGUCAGAUACAGAACCCGGCUUACAGUUUUGCUCGCGCA